rnacentral:rRNA from 1 species
AUGAAUGAUCCAUGGAAGGGAGCGGUCGAGCUACAACUCCUACAACAGAUACCUGGCCGUGAGCUGAAGCUCAGGGUGAGUCUCUACGCCGACGACGUAGUUGUCUUCAUCAACCCAAUCAGUCAGGAGGUUGACGCUCUCAUGGGCAUCCUAUGCCAAUUCGGACGCGCUACAGGGUUAAGCAUCAACACAGAAAAGUCCAUGGCAUCGCCGGUCAGCUGCAACGACCUAGACCUCGCACAUGUGCUGCACAAUUUCGGCGGCUCAAUCGCCCCUUUUCCGAUCAAAUACCUGGGUCUGCCACUCAUCACCGGCCGGCUUCGGCUAGUGCACCUGCAGUUCAUCAUCGAUAGGAUUAAGGCCCGGCUGGCGGGCUGGAAGAGAAACCUAAUCCACAUCGCGGGGCGGCGCGUGCUGGUCCGCUGCGUUCUUAGCGCCAUGCCGACCUUCGCGCUCACCGUGCUGAAUGUGCCAAAGAAGAUCCUCAAGGAAAUUGACAAGUGCCGUCGCCGCUUCCUCUGGAAGCAAGACGAGGAAAUCUCCGGCGCAAGUUGCAAAGUUAGCUGGGCAGCGGUUUGCACUCCAACGGAAAACAGAGGCCUGGGAGUCCCUGACCUCUCGAGGUUUGGACGUGCCCUCCGCCUGCGCUGGCCCUGGCUCGCAUGGCGCCACCCUGAGCGCCCAUGGGUGGGCUCGGUCCUGCCUUGCAACGACGACGACCUCUCCCUCUUCACGGCGGCCACCUCGGUCAGCAUCGGCGAUGGCGCGACGGCGUCCUUCUGGCACUCUCAUUGGAUGGGACCGGGCACGCUCGCCCAGCAAUUCCCGCGGCUGGUUCUGCAUGCCCGGAGAAAGAACAGGACAGUGAAGGCGGCCCUGGCGGACGACACCUGGAUCAAGGACCUAGCCCAUGGCCGUACUGAACAUCUGAUCCAAGACGUCCUGGUCUUGCAUAGACGGCUCCAAGGCGUAGCCGGCGAACUGCAUGCGGGCACCCCCGACUCCAUUAGAUGGAUCCUCGAGCGGACGGGCGAAUACUCGGCAAGAUCAGCUUAUCGGGUGCAAUUCCAGGGCAUGACGUCCUCGAUUUUCGGCAAGAUCAUAUGGAGUGCUUGGGCCCCCGGGAAGAUCAAGAUGUUUGCUUGGCUCAUGCUGCAAAACAGGCUGUGGUGCAACGACAGACUUCAACGCCGCGGCUGGAAGAACGAGUACUUCUGCCAGCUGUGCACUCGAAACCUUGAAUCCUCGAAGCAUCUGUUCUGGGAGUGCCCAAUGGCCAAGGGUGUCUGGGAAGCGAUAAGCUCAUGGACGGGCUGCGCCUCGCUAGCUCCAGCUGCGAGCUGGCGAGACCUCCAGCACUCCUCCAUUGCGCUGGCCGCCCUGGACAGGGCCUCACCAAGAUGGCGAAAAGGCACAACCACGCUACUACUGCUGGUUUGCUGGGAGAUUUGGCAGGAACGGAACAACGCCACCUUCAGGAAAAGCACCCCAAAGGCCUCCAACAUCAUCAGAAGGAUCACAGACUGCAUCGAGCUCUGGCGAGCCCCGGGUGCAUCCUGCAUUGAGAGCCCCUUCGGGGAACCACCAUGA